AACGAACGCUGGCGGCAUGCCUAACACAUGCAAGUCGAACGGGACCUUCGGGUCUAGUGGCGCACGGGUGCGUAACGCGUGGGAAUCUGCCCUUGGGUUCGGAAUAACAGUUGGAAACGACUGCUAAUACCGGAUGAUGACGUAAGUCCAAAGAUUUAUCGCCCAAGGAUGAGCCCGCGUAGGAUUAGCUAGUUGGUGAGGUAAAGGCUCACCAAGGCGACGAUCCUUAGCUGGUCUGAGAGGAUGAUCAGCCACACUGGGACUGAGACACGGCCCAGACUCCUACGGGAGGCAGCAGUGGGGAAUAUUGGACAAUGGGCGAAAGCCUGAUCCAGCAAUGCCGCGUGAGUGAUGAAGGCCUUAGGGUUGUAAAGCUCUUUUACCCGGGAUGAUAAUGACAGUACCGGGAGAAUAAGCUCCGGCUAACUCCGUG
rnacentral:rRNA from 1 species